rnacentral:rRNA from 1 species
GACGAACGCGGGCGGCGUGCUUAACACAUGCAAGUCGAACGAAGAGAAAUGGAAGCUUGCUUCUAUGGAUCUUAGUGGCGAACGGGUGAGUAACGCGUAAUCAACCUGCCCUUCAGAGGGGGACAACAGUUGGAAACGACUGCUAAUACCGCAUACGAUUCAAUCUCGGCAUCGAGAGUGGAUGAAAGGUGGCCUCUAUUUAUAAGCUAUCACUGAAGGAGGGGAUUGCGUCUGAUUAGCUAGUUGGAGGGGUAACGGCCCACCAAGGCGAUGAUCAGUAGCCGGUCUGAGAGGAUGAACGGCCACAUUGGGACUGAGACACGGCCCAGACUCCUACGGGAGGCAGCAGUGGGGAAUCUUCCGCAAUGGACGAAAGUCUGACGGAGCAACGCCGCGUGAGUGAUGACGGCCUUCGGGUUGUAAAGCUCUGUUAAUCGGGACGAAUGGUUCUUGUGCAAAUAGUGCGAGGAUUUGACGGACCGAAUAGAAGCCACGCAUUCG